GCGAGUACACUGCUCCAGAAAACCGUUCCGUAGGUGAACCUGCGGAAGGAUCAUUACCGAGUGCGGGUCCUUUGGGCCCAACCUCCCACCCGUGUCUACCGUACUAUGUUGCUUCGGCGGGCGUCUGGCCCGCCGGAGACCCUCUCGAACGCUGUUGUGAACAAGGGUACUGUCUGAGUGUGAGAUGAAAAAUCGUUAAAACUUUCAACAACGGAUCUCUUGGUUCCGGCAUCGAUGAAGAACGCAGCGAAAUGCGAUAAGUAAUGUGAAUUGCAGAAUUCCGUGAAUCAUCGAAUCUUUGAACGCACAUUGCGCCCUCUGGUAUUCCGGGGGGCAUGCCUGUCCGAGCGUCAUUUCUGCCCUCAAGCACGGCUUGUGUGUUGGGUCGCCGUCCCUCUCAUUUCCGGGGAGGACGGGCCCGAAAGGCAGUGGCGGCGUCGCGUUGGUCCUCGAGCGUAUGGGGCUCUGUCACCCGCUCUGCAGGGCUGGCCGGUGCUUGCUGACCCGCAAUCUUUCUCUAAGGUUGACCUCGGAUCAGGUAGGGAUACCCGCUGAACUUAAGCAUAUCAAUAAGCGGAGGAAAAGAAACCAACUGGGAUUGCCUCAGUAACGGCGAGUGAAGCGGCAAGAGCUCAAAUUUGAAAUCUGGCCUCCUUCCGGGGUCCGAGUUGUAAUUUGGAGAGGACGCUUCGGGGACGGCGCCGGUCUAAGUGCCCUGGAACGGGCGGUCAUAGAGGGUGAGAAUCCCGUCUGGGACCGGUGGCCGUGCCCGUGUGAAGCUCCCUCGACGAGUCGAGUUGUUUGGGAAUGCAGCUCUAAAUGGGUGGUAUAUUUCAUCUAAAGCUAAAUAUGGGCCGGAGACCGAUAGCGCACAAGUAGAGUGAUCGAAAGAUGAAAAGCACUUUGAAAAGAGAGUUAAACAGCACGUGAAAUUGUUGAAAGGGAAGCGCUUGCGACCAGACUCGCACGGGGGGGCUCAGCCGGCACUUGUGCCGGUGCACUUCCCUCCGUGCGGGCCAGCGUCGGUUUGGGCGGUCGCUGAAAGGCGCCCGGAAUGUAGCACCCUCCGGGGUUAAAGUAGCCGGGUGUGUCAUGCGGCCCGCCGGGACCGAGGAAC
rnacentral:rRNA from 1 species